rnacentral:rRNA from 1 species
UAUGUGAUCGUCUCUCGCAUAUCAAUAAGCGGAGGAAAAGAAACUAACAAGGAUUCCCCUAGUAACGGCGAGUGAAGCGGGAAGAGCUCAAAUUUGAAAUCUUAAAGGGUUUCCCUUUACGAAUUGUAGUUUAAAGAAGUGUUUUCUGUUGAGGUUUUGGUAAAAGUUCUUUGGAAUAGGACAUCAUAGAGGGUGAGAAUCCCGUAUUUGACCUUUACUUUCAACUUUGUGAUACACUUUCAAAGAGUCGGAUUGUUUGGGAAUGCAGUCCAAAAUGGGUGGUAAAUUUCAUCUAAAGCUAAAUAUUGGCGAGAGACCGAUAGCGAACAAGUACCGCGAGGGAAAGAUGAAAAGAACUUUGAAAAGAGAGUUAAACAGUACGUGAAAUUGUCAAAAGGGAAGCGUUUGACACCAGUGUUGUUUUUCUGAAAAUCAAUUAAAGAACUGUUUAUGCUAAGCUGUUUAGACUUUAUCAGCUAUCUGUUUAGUUUUGAGCUUUUCUUUAAUGCACUUUUCAGUUAACAAGUCAACAUCAAUUUCUUUUGCUGUAAAAAAGCUUGAGGAAGGUGGCUUGAGAUUCGUCUUAAGUGUUUAUAGCCUCUUGCCUAUGCAGUCGGAGAGAUUGAGGUCUGCAGCGUAGAUCCUUCGGGGCUAAAUGCAUUUGUGCUAAGUUAUAGCAUUUUAUAGACAACUUGUUGACUAUGAUUUGUCUUGUAGCUUACUCGCUUAUGUUAUUUUACCUACGCUUAGGAUGUUGAUCUCUCACAGUCGAGC